GGCGGAGGGAAGAAGGGUGCACAGACCGAGGGUUCAGGACGCUUUCCUCCCGUGGUGCACAGGCAGAUGGUUCCGGACAGUCAGGGCCAGAGGGCUGCUGGGUCCACCAGGUCACACAACACCGAGGCCAGGGCUAAGGGUGGUGGUGGCACAGGGGUAGGGACUGGGAGCAAGUCCAACCUGGCAGGGCAGAUCAUCCUCAUGUAUGGUUUUGGGAUCCUCCUUUAACUCCUCUACCUCCUGUUUAAGGUGCGAUGUUGUGGGGUUGGUAUAGGGUACCCACACAACAUGCAAUAGUCAUGGGCAUUUGAAAGAAAGUCUGUGUUUGAGUACUCUCGCAUGUUCGCAUUUUAAAUGUGAAAUGGGGCUGAAGGCAAAAGUUUGCAUUUGAAAAUUAAUCGAAGACUAAUCUUGAAUCGAGUACCUGCAGUUUUGGACUCUCUCUACUGCACCUGCUGUUUCUAACUCUGAAUGAUCGGCUAUGAAAAGCCAACUGUGAAAAGCCAACAAUAACCACUGUGGUUAUUAUUAUUUGACCGUGCUGGUCAUCUAUGAACGUUUGAACAUCUUGGUCAUGUUAUAAUCUCCACCUGGCACAGCCAGAAGAGAACUGGCCACCCCACAUAGCCUGGUUCCUCUCUAGGUUUCUUCCUAGGUUCUGGCCUUUCUAGGGAGUUUUUCUUAGCCACCGUGCUUCUACAUCUGCAUUGCUUGCUGUUUGGUGUUUUAGGUUGGGUUUCUGUACAGCACUUUGACAUUGGCUGAUAUAAAAAAGGGCUUGAUAAAUCAAUUUGAUUGAUUGAUACUUGUGCCCAUCCAAACAUAUAUGCACAUACAUGGAGGAGGACACGCAUGCACACAAACUCCAUUGUGUCCUAUUCUCACAAACUAUUUGUUUAUGAUCUCCGUGUUGUAUGUUCAAAAGACACAUUAUAGCACGGUUUAAAUCAUAUUCCUAUUGUGUUUUCAAAAGAUAACAUCAAAGGUGAAGAGCGCCGCACCUGUCGAGCCCAGAUUUCCCUCGGUGAGAGGAGAGAACCGGAAUAAAAAGAUCACUGAUUGUGAGCUGACUCAGCUGCAGGAUAACCUGAGGGAGACAGAGAUGGUAAUGGAGAGGAUUGUCUAAAGCCAGCUGCAGCUCUAAAAGGGUGACAGGGGUGAGUGCAGACCAAGAGGAGAGACUGCUUCUCCAGCUGAGAGAGAUCACAUGGGUGAUGCAGGAGGGCCGCCAGGCGGAGGGGGUUACCCCACCAGAGAUAUUGGCACUUUUUAUUGCUUAUAUGGUAUCAUUAAAGACUUGUCUGAAUAUGUCAUCCACACUCAACAAUAUGGGAACUCACUCUACAUCCUUUGAUGAAGUUAUGUGGAAAAGGGAAUGGGGUGGUGAAAUAAUUUUCUGUCGUGGACAAAGGAACUCAAAUGGUGUGAUGAUAUUAAUUAACAAAGAUUUUGAUCUGAAUGUGCAAAUAGUCAGGAAUGAUUCGCAAGGAAGGUGGAUCCUUUUGAAUAUGAAAGUAGACGAAAAAGAGAUUUGGCUCAUUAAUCUAUAUGGUCCAGAUCAGGAUGAUCCACUAUUCUUCGAAAACAUCUAUACCAAUUUAUUGAAUUUACAGGCAACAGGUGAUCUAAUCAUUAUGGUAGGAGACUAUAACAUCAUGUUAAGUACCUCAAUGGUCCGUAAAGGUAAUCACUCUACAAACUAUCAUCACCGUGCCCUUAAGGAAAUCACUAAUAUUAUGGACACAUUAGAAAUAUUGGAUAUAUGGAGACUAAAAAAUCCAGAUCUUGUGAGAUAUACGUGAAGGAGACUUAAUCAACCUAGUCGUCUUGACUUUCUAGUCUCUUUCUCUCUUGCAUCAAAGGUGAAAAAAGUUUUAAUAGGAGACAGAAUGAGAUCGGAUCAUCAUCUAACUGGCAUUCACAUAACUCUUAUAGAUUUUCCACGUGGACGGGGAUAUUGGAAAUUUAAUCAAAGGUUACUGGAGGACAACUAAGACAAAAUCAUUUAUAACUGAAUUUUUCCAGUAUAAUAUAGGUUCAGCAAAUCCCCUUAUCGUUUGGGAUACGUUUAAAUGUACUUUCAGGUGUCAUUCAAUUCAAUAGACAUCAAUAAUAAGAAAGCAGUUUCUGGCUAAAGAGACAAGACGAACAAGGGAAAUGCAUGAACUAAUAGUACAGGUAGAUUGCAAUAAAAGCGAUACUACAGAGAUACAAAAUAAGUUAGAUGAAAAACAAAAAGAACUUCAGGAACUUAUUCAAGAACAAUCUAAUGUAAUCUAUUACAAAAAUAAAGCAAACUGGAUGGAAUAUGGCGAAAAAUGCACAAAAUUCUUCUGAAUCUCCAAUACAGGAACGCUAACAAAAAUAAUUUUCAGAAACUCGUUACUGAAGACGGAGUCAUCUAUGAUUCUCUGAAUGAUAUUUUAAAAGAGGAAGCUAAUUAUUUUAGGCAGAUGUUCUCUUUUCCGUCUCAUCCUUUCCACUGAAUGAAGAUUAUGGUAAGGAAUUAUUUCCAAAUAAUAUAAAAACCCCAGGGCUUGAUGGCAUACCGGUAGACAUAUGUUUUAACUACUCCUAUAGAAAUUGUAGUGUGUCACGUACUCAGCAGUAAGGUCUGAUUUCUCUAUUAUUAAAACAAGACCCAGAUGGCAAAUAUAUCUAAAAAAAACUGGAGGCCCCUUACACUUCAAUGUUGUGAUGCAAAAAUACUAGCAAAAUGCAUAGCACUCAGAUUUAAAAGGGUUUUACCAGGUAUUGUUCAUCCUGAUCAGACAGAUUUUCUACAUGGACGAUACAUUGGAGAUAAUAUACAACAACUACUAGAAAUAAUAGAACAUCAUGAAACAUAUAAGAAGCCAGGAAUAGUAUUUGUAGCGGAUUUUGAAAAGGCAUUUGAUUAAUUAAGACUGGAUUUGAUUUAUAACUGCCUGGAUUUUUUCAAUUUCGGUAAUUCUCUUAUAAAAUGGGUAACAAUAAUGUAUAGCAACGCCAGGUGUAAAAUAGUAAAUAAUGGCUACUUCUCAGAGAGUUUUGAAUUGUCAAGAGGAGUUAAACAAGGGUGUCCGCUGUCAUCAUAUCUAUUCAUUAUGGCCAUUGAAAUGUUAGCUAUUAAAAUCAAUAACAAUAAUAACCAAUAACAUUAGCGGACUAGAAAUCCAAGGAUUAAAAACAAAGGUGUCCAUGUAUGCCGAUGACUCAAGUUUUAUUAUAUUAAGUCCGCAAGCUAGAUCCCUGCAAUGUCUCAUUAAAGAUCUAGAUACAUUUUCUGGACUCAAACCUAAUUAUGAUAAGAGUACAAUACUACGUAUUGGAUCCUUAAAAAUACAACUUUUACAUUACCCUACAGUUCACCUAUAAAAUGGGAUGAUGAUGAAGUAGACAUACUCAGUAUUCAUAUCACAAAAAAUAUACAUAAGCUCUCCACAAUGAAUUUCAAUAGUAAACUUGUAAAAAUAGACAAGAUCCUGCAACCAUGGAGAGGUAAAUACCUGUCUAUUUAUUGAGAAAUUGCCCUGAUUAACUCCUUAGUUAUAUCUCAGUUUACUCACUUACUUCUGGUGCUGCCUACUCCAGAUGAUUUGUUUUUCAAAUCAUAUGAGCAAAAAUAUUUCGCUUUAUCUGGGACGCUAAACCAGACAAAAUACAACAUGCCUAUCUGUAUAAUUAAUAUGAAUUGGAUGGGUUGAGAUUAUUAAAAAUAAAAGCACUAAACCUCUCUCUAAAAGCUUCCCUCAUUCAAAAGUUUUAUUUGAACCCUAAAUGGUUCUCAAGUAGAUUACUAAGAGAAGCUAUUCCAUUGUUUUGAAAAUGGCCUUGUCUCAUUUUCAAUUAAUUGAAAAUGAUAAUUUUUUUCAAAGUAUCUCUCUUUUUCAAACAAGCAUUGCAGAGCUGGCUACAAUUUCAAUUUCAUCCCCCUGAAAAGAUAUAACAAAUAUUACAACAAAUAUUAUGGCUGAACUCAAAUGUGCUGGUUGAUAAAAUACCUGUAUUUAUGGGAAAGAUGUUUGAAAAUUGUAUUUUGUUCUUAAAUGAUAUUGUAAAUUGUAAUUGAAGAGUUGUGUCCUUCAUGGAGUUAUCAGAAUUGUACUGAAAGGUCUGCUCAAUCCAAGAGUACAACCAAUUGAUUACGGCAUUGCCCCAAAAGUGGAGGAGGUGGGUGGCAGAGGGAGGAGUUAGAGAACUGGUCAGUCUGCCGAAUCUAAAGGAUCAAAACUGGCAGAGGAAUAAAAAUAGCAUAAAUAGGAAAGUUUCAUUUGAGUACCAGGAUGUUGACAACUGUGCCAUACAGUUUGCAAAAUAGUUUCCGAUUCCAUGGUACAGGGUUUAUGAGUUGAUAUAUAAAACAACGCAAGAUUCAAGACUUCGUGCUUAUCAGCUAAAAUUAUUAUAUAGAAAUCUUGCCACCAACAAAAUGUUGAAUAUUUGGGGCAUAAAAUCAUCGAAGCUCUGCAGAUUUUGUUGUGAGGAUACAGAAUCAAUGGACCAUUUAUUUUGGUAUUGCCCUCAGGUAACCUGUUUCUGGUCUCAGGUUCAGGAAUGGCUGGAAAUGCAUAGCAUUGAUCUAAAAUUGACCAUAGAAAUUGUACUGUUAGGAGAUCUGGAGAGACCAGGUCAGUCAAUUACUAAUACUCUUAGUAAAAGUAUUUAUCUUUAACUCGCAAUCUGUAAAUUCUAUUCGAUUAGAUAGAUUGAAAUUGUACGUUAAACAUCACAGCAUAGUUGAAAGAUAUGUGUUGCGGAGAAACCCGAAGUGGGUGGCCAGCAGAGAUGAAUGGGAUGGGCUGAAGGUUGGUAUGUGGAAUUGGAGACAAGUGGGAGUGGAGUUGCUGUGUGAGAGAUUUUUUUUAAAGUACAAAUAAAACUUAAUAAAAAGUACACCAAGUGGCAGUGUUUUUACAACUAAUGCCGGUUUGCCUGAGGCUGAUGCCAUGCAGGUGUUUGUACACAUGCAUAUACUCUAAUGGUUGA